rnacentral:rRNA from 1 species
UACGGAGGGUGCGAGCGUUAAUCGGAAUUACUGGGCGUAAAGGGUGCGUAGGUGGUUGAGUAAGUUAUCUGUGAAAGCCCAGGGCUUAACCUUGGAGGGUCAGAUAAGACUAUUUAGCUAGAGUAUGAGAGAGGGUAGUGGAAUUUCCGGUGUAGCGGUGAAAUGCGUAGAGAUCGGAAGGAACACCAGUGGCGAAGGCGGCUACCUGGCUUAAUACUGACACUGAGGCACGAAAGCGUGGGGAG